GCUAAUGAGGAGUAGGAACUUAGUGAUAGAAGUUUUGUGCUCACUGGUUAUUGAUUUGUGGAGAAGUUUCGGAAAUUUUUCUUCUCAAUUUUGACUCAUGGGGAAGGAGUUUGUGAUUUAAUUCAACAUGUAUUUUAGCAGUAGAUAGAUAGUUGCAUGUCUAUCUAAAUGUGACAUGUUUUGUUUUGAAAUAUAUUUUAAAUUAUCAAAAAGAUUAUCUUUUUAGCUCAUUUGAUUCAUAUACCUGCAGAAGUCUAGUCAAGGUUUUUAUAUCACAACAUUGCAUUUUUAUUAUUUUAAUAUCACAGUAUUGCAUUACUUUCCUGGUUAAUGGAUAAUUGGACUGCUGGAGAACAGAGCAUUGCAGUGGCUACCCUCAAGGUGAGAAUAUCUUUGAUCAUGAAUGUAAUGGUUUUACUUCUGAUGCCCAUAGUUAACCUUUUAAAAGAACCAUAUCUGUUUCUCUCUGUUUAUCUACUAAGCAAGACUCCAAUAAAAGAUAGUUCACAAUACAUUCUGUUUUCUCUAUACUAGAUCUUGAAUGACAUGCGGUCUCAUUUAGAUCUAAGAAGUCCUGGGUAUAAAGAAAACAUGUCAUUCAAGUGCCUGUCUUUCAAGCCCAUCCAUCUCCUGAGCGUAUAGAAAACAACACGAGCAAACUCUAAAUUUGUUCAACUGUCACGGAUGGAUGCUCGUGCUGUGGCCAAGUGUGUUAGAGAGUCGGAUUGUUUUUUUGGAGGAAGUGUCCUUCAUGUAACUAUGAUAUUUGAUGAUGUUCCUAUUAUAAACACGAGAACAGGGCUAUGUACUUGUUCUUGUGAAUAUGUUAGCAUGUGUCUCCAUACGACCUGCACACAUGUAUAUGUGUAUGUAGGAUAUGUUUGUGAAUAUACACACACAUACCACAUGCAUGUGCAUGUAUCUGUGUACUGUGAGAGUGGGCAUGCAUGGUGUGUAUUUGCUGCAAGGUAUGUGUUCGUGCAUAGAAUAUUGAUGAAUUUCUCACAUCAUGCGUGAUUAUCAUUUUAAGGUUGUCUCUCUAUUUUUUAGCUGUGAUUUAGUUAUCUACAUUUAUAUUAUAAAAUAUCCUCAUUGUUUUAGGUUUGUUUUUAUUUGUCUAAGCAGGGCGUUGGUCCUACUUUAAGGAGUUGUGAAGAUGCUGGAGACUCACUGUGACAGAAAGAACUAGUAUCCGAAAUUUGUCAAUUUCAUACAUUUCAUCCAUAUUUCACGCGCCGUCAUGUUGGCACCACAAGUAUAUAACAUCAUUAAUGGCCACAAGUGUUGGGAGAUUACUCAGAUUCCCCUAUCACCAGAAAGCGAAUAAAUGCGCAAAAAAAAAAGAGACGCAAGAUUUACAUGGUUCGGCACAAAAUUACCUACAUCCACGGGCUGCUGCAGAUCUUAUACUGAAAGGGGGAAAUUACAAGCACUCUGAAUAUUACUCUGAUAUUCUCACUGAGUACUCUCUCUCUCUCUGUUUUUCACUCACUGAGUUCUCUCUGGCUCAGUACUCUCUCUUAGCCUCUCUACACAAUUUCUCACUGACCCUUGAUUGUUUUUUAGCAGUUGAAAGGAUGAUCAAAUAAGGGACGAGGGGGACCCUAUUUAUAGGUGUAGAAGCUCCUCCCUUCUUAUUUUUUUCUUCCUCCCAUUUUUUACUUUUGCUCCUGCCUUUCUCUUUUGUCAACAAAAAUACUGAAGCUUUCGGUGGCUUUUUCAUUUUUGUCAAAAAGUGGCUGAAGCUCUCCCUAGCGUUAAGUUCAGAUCAUCCUAAUGUCUCCAAUUAAGAGUAAAAAAAAAAAGAAAGUGAGAG